GCCAACACCGACCAAAAAGAAGAGGCUGACACAAGCAAACAAAACUGCCAAAUACAAACUCCCACUCAAGCUCCCACUCAUACGCUCCCACUUCUUCCCUUCCCAUUUAAACGAGUCUUUUCCAUGAAAAUGAUAGUGCAUAACAGAACCCAAAUCACUUUCUCAUAUGGUUUUUAUUUUUCCUUCUUCUUCCUCUUCUCCAAAUCCAUUUUCAAUUAUUCCCUUCAUAAUCUAUUCUAAUUGUAGUUCUGAUUCUGUGCAAAAUUUGCUUAAUCUUAUGCUUUUCUUGCUGAAUCCAACAGUGCAGGUGCUUCUAUGUGUUCUAAGGUAGAGAGUAGAAUAUUGAAUAGCUUCAUCAUGAUGCAGAAACAGGGGAAGUGUGAUUUCUUACGGAGGGAUAAUCAUAUUCACUCUUUAAAUCUAUAGACCAAGUUUUCUAAUGUCACGUAUUAGUCGAAGAGAGUCUGAAGUUACAAUGCAACCAAGGAAAGACUUGUGUUCAAUGAAAAGCCUCCUGCUGAUAAACUUUUGUUGUGCUCACAGAGGCAGAUCGCGUGCGACGGCCGCAACAAUUGAAGGUUAAUGGCACCUUUCUCUAAUUCGAUCUAAACAACACAUUUGGUGCUAUUUAAUUUUUAUUUUCUUUUAUUUUUUGUUAGCAUAAUGUAGAAAGGAGGAAUCACCAAUGAAGCAUUUUUACACCAACUGUAAGGUAAAUGAGUUAUUAGUUAUGUUUGGGCUGAAUUAUGAGUUAAUACUUGAUUGCAAAAUGCAUAUUUUGACUUCAGUUGGUCUUUGUUUUUCAAUGUUGUUAUGUAGAUUAACAUGUGUAAUUGUUCUCGGUUGUCCUUCUAUUAGCUGGCUUCUUUCCACCUCUUGAAAAACUUUUUGAGAAGGUGAAGGCGAGGAUGCCAUCAUGUUUUGCCAAGGAGUGCGGAUUGCACAUUGAUGAGUAUGUGAUGCUGCACGAUCCCAACAAGAACAUGUUUGAGGUUAGGGUGCACAAGAAAAGAGGCAAGGUGUAUUUGAGAGAUGGUUGGGCAGUAUUGAAGGAUGUAUAUAAGAUAGGCAGUCGUGCAUGGGUCACUCUUACCUAUCUAGAAUCAAAUCUUAUGCACAUGAUCAUCAAAGAUAAAUCAGGGCUUGAAGUUGACUACCCCAACAAUGGUCUUCCUCCUAUAUUGAAGAGGUUAAUCCCAUCUGAAGGUCGCAUGGUGCUGCAGUUCUAUCGCACGACUGUCCAUUUACUCACAGCUUCCGAUGUUAAUUCUGGAUAUCUGGUUUUCCUUGGUUUGGUUUCUGCGAGGAUGCAAUGCCUAAGACUACGACUCGGCUAUCUAUUAUUGAUCACUAUGGUAAUGUUUGGAAGUGUGAGAUGGUCUUCAUGAAGGUUCAAAAUACCGUCUUUUGCAGGAUUGGAAGUCAGUGGAGCCUUUUGCGUGCAGCGCGCAAUUUGAUGAAAGGACAUGCUAUAAAGCUUGCUGUGACUGGUGAUUCAAGGAAUGGUAUUCUGCACAUAAGGCAUGUUCCUUUGCAGUGUGUCCAUAGGGGUUUUACCCGUUCUGCAACAACAACCGAAUCGCGAUACGUGAACCAUUAUUUCGUGCAGUGUCCGCUGAAGACAGACUGCGGUUGGCGUCUAGGUUGAUGUGUGUUAUGAGACAUGGAGUGUGCCAGUUUUUUGCUGUAGUGUGAUUAUGAUAUUGCACACUUUGCUUGCGUGUAUGUCCUUCGGUUAGUUUUGCGCGCAGUUAUGCUAUUUUGGUAUUAGGUUACUGUUUCAAUACAUUAUAUGGAAAACUCUAAUUAGUGAUUUGUUUGUGGUCUGUUUAUGUCAAAAUUGUGAUGAGUAAUGAAUGACUUUUAGAUCAGAUGACUCUACUGACUUUUAGAUUCGAUGUUGAAAAUAUGAUUAUAUGUUUUAUAAUGUGAAUGACUGUCUUGUGAUUGUGUGUUUUAUUGUAUGUUUGGUUACGAGUAGAUCGUCUAUAUGUGUGUGUUUUAGAGUGCUGAUUAUAAUGGUCCGGAUGCGCAUAAGCAAUCUAGGAUGAUCGAUCCAAUUGGGUGCCCGGCUGGAUGUGAUAGUGAAAUAACAGACUACUGGUUGUGGAACACGCGCGUGUAACUCGUAUUGUGGUAUCAAUUUGUAGGACAUGCGUUUCAAAUGGUGCGGAUGUGCCAGCGAUAGAAGAAUUGCAUUUAGUGUUGGUCAAUAAGUAUUUUUUUGGGUGAACCAGUUCUGCUGGAUUGCACCUUUUUAUUAUUUCAAGUUGGGGCCGCGGGACACAAGUGUCUCAUUUUCUAGACAAUUGCAGGCUUUAUUUCUCCCUGCACAAAUAUGCCAACUGCAUAUACUACAUGCCAUGCGAAUUGGGUAUUUGUUGACUUGUAUUGCGGUACAUUGGAGUGGCUGUUGCUAUAAAAUUGGCAAGGUGAUUUAUGCAGGUCCGUGACACUGUCUUCAAUUCAUUUCGAGACCAAGUAACGACCUUUGUCGUAUAAUUUAUUGUGCCAAUCCCAACUGAAGUGCAUUAUCAAUCCAAACUACAGUUCAUGAGUAACCGCUUUACCGGAUAAACCCACGACCUCUAGCUUUUCUGCGGAAGAAUAGCUGAGUUUCAUAUACGCCAAAGGUUUUGCUCUAAUUAUGCAAAGACACUAAAAUACAUUGAAGAAUUGGUUAUUCUAAUUGAAGGUAACUGUAUCAUGUGAGUCAGCUCUUAUUGAUUUAUAGUCAUUGCAGGAUCAACCAAGGCCAUCUGCUAUAUGAUAUGUGAUGUUGGUCCAAGUUAAAGUUCACUACUCUUAAGCACAACUUAAUGCUUUAGAUAUUUCUAUUUUAUACAUGCA